rnacentral:rRNA from 1 species
UGGCGCUGUAGCGUCGUGCCUAUACUCUGCCGUCAACGGCACAGGGGGCGGCACACUAGCCUGUGUCGGGCCGUUAUGCCUUGACGAGUAGGAGGGUCGCUGCGAUGUGCGCAGAAGGGUCUGGGCGUGAGCCUGCCUGGAGCCAUCGUCGGCGCAGAUCUUGGUGGUAGUAGCAAAUACUCCAGCGAGGACCUGGAGGACUGACGUGGAGAAGGGUUUCUUGUGAACAGCUGUUGCACAAGAGUCAGUCGAUCCUAAGCCCUAGGAGAAAUCCUAUGUCGAUGGGGAGCCGUUUAAGUUGACGGGCGCGCGUUAGCGCGCUUCCGAUAUGGAAGGCAACCCACGGGGCGAAAGGGAAUCCGGUUCCUAUUCCGGAACCCGGCUGCGGAACCGUUCCUAAGCGGGCCCUCAUCCGAGUGCUCGACGGGGCAACCCGAAGAGACCCGGAGACGCCGGCGGGAGGUCCGGAGAGAGUUUUCUUUUCUCUAUAAGCGUUCGAGUUCCCUGGAAGCCUAUAGCAGGGAGAUAGGGUUUGGAACGCGAAGAGCACCGCAGUUGCGGCGGUGUCCGGGAUCUUCCCCUCGGACCUUGAAAAUCCGGGAGA